AUCUGGCUGAUGAGUCCUAAAUAGGAUGAAACUCACGUCCUGGAU
rfam:Schistosoma rodhaini strain Burundi genome assembly, scaffold: SROB_scaffold0002494